rnacentral:tRNA from 1 species
CAGAUCAUUUCUGUUAGUUGAGAUUUCAUUUACACUGAAUUUUUUGUCGUGCAAUUCGGCAUGGUCUGA